AGAGUUUGAUCCUGGCUCAGAACGAACGCUGGCGGCAUGGCUAAGACAUGCAAGUCGUACGGACCGCAGUAGCAAUAUUGCGGUUAGUGGCGAAAGGGUGAGUAGUGCAUGGGUAACGUACCCCGAACUCGGGAAUAACAGCGGGAGCAAUCCCUUUAGCGAAAGUGCUGCUAAUACCCGAUGAAGUCGUUGGGCCGCAUGACCUGACGACCAAAGGUGGGGACCGCAAGGCCUACCGGUUUGGGCGCGGCCCAUGUCCUAUCAGCUAGUUGGUGAGGUAACGGCUCACCAAGGCGGCGACGGGUAGCGGGACUGAGAGGUCGGCCCGCCACAUCGGGACUGAGACACUGCCCGGACACCUACGGGUGGCUGCAGUAACGAAUAUUGGGCAAUGGGCGAAAGCCUGACCCAGCAAUGCCGCGUGCAGGACGAAGUCCUUCGGGAUGUAAACUGCUGUCAGGGGUCCGCAAGCGAAGGCGCCGAAUAGGCUCCGGAGUUGAGCAGCCCCAGAGGAAGCCUCGACUAACUCUGUGCCAGCAGUCGCGGUAAGACAGAGGAGGCAAGCGUUGUUCGGAAUCACUGGGCUUAAAGCGCGUGUAGGCGGCUUAGAAAGUGUCGUGUGAAAUCCCGCGGCUCAACCGCGGAACUGCACGGCAAACUACUUGGCUUGAGGUCGGUAGAGGUGCCUGGAACUCUAGGUGGAGCGGUGAAAUGCGUAGAUAUCUAGAGAAACGCCAGAAGCGAAAGCGGGGCACUGGGCCGAUUCUGACGCUGAGACGCGAAAGCGUGGGGAGCAAACAGGAUUAGAUACCCUGGUAGUCCACGCCGUAAACGAUGCACACUAGACGUUGGAGCCUCUGACGGAGCCGGCGUCGCAGCAAAAGUGCUAAGUGUGCCGCCUGGGGAGUACGGCCGCAAGGCUAAAACUCAAAGGAAUUGACGGGGGCUCACACAAGCGGUGGAGCAUGUGGCUUAAUUCGAAUCAACGCGAAGAACCUUACCCGGGUUUGACAUGCUUGGAUGCCUACUGGGGAUAACUCGGCUAGGCUGCCCUUCGGGGUGAAACUUGCACAGGUGUUGCAUGGCUGUCGUCAGCUCGUGCUGUGAAGUGUCGGGUUAAGUCCCUUAACGAGCGAAACCCCUAUCGUUAGUUGCCAGCGGGUCAUGCCGGGAACUCUAGCGAGACUGCCGGCGUUAAGCCGGAGGAAGGUGGGGACGACGUCAAGUC
rnacentral:rRNA from 1 species